GGAUGGUUUCUCAAGAGUAUCAUUGUUAAGUCUGAAGAGGAAGAUAGUAGUCAGGAGGUGCUGUUUCCAUGCAACAGGUGGGCUAUUAUCAUUAUGCAAAGUUAUGCAAAGUGAUGCUCUCCCUGGGCCAGUUCAUUUCAGCUGGGUGGUCCCAGCUGUUAGUGUACACCAAUUCCUCUCUUAAAAUCAAAGUCGAAGGUCUUCUCAGGAAGCCGCUCCUAUGAGCAUUAACAGUUCUCUAUUUGUAAUAUUCAACAUUUUCCUCUUCUGGAAUAAGUAUGCUGAGAUGGAACGAAAACUGGAUUAGGACCCAGAAUAAAGGUUCUUAUCUCUGUUUCUCAAAUACUUGCUAGCAUACUGCUAGUUCUGGGUACUUCUUUCAACUUUUCUCAAGUUCAGUGUCCUCAUUUGUAAGGCAGGAAUAAUGCUUUAUUUCCCUAGUUCAUUUGAAUCAUUUAAACCCAAAUGAAAUUAUGUGCAUGAACUCUGAACUCCUUUAUACUAAGAUGGCUAAUAAUAAUAAGAGAAUCAAACUUCAAGGGCAGCUGUGUAAUUUCUUGGCCAAGUAGCCAUAGGUGAAUCACUUAAACUCUGAUCCCCAGUUUUCAAAAUCUUAUGAUUAUAAAGAUUAAAUCUUCCCUACUUACUUUAUAGAGGUGAUGCAAAUAGAAUAUCAAGAAUAGCUUACGUGUGGAAUAUGAUAUGUCAAGAAAUUUGUAAUGUUUUGAACAACCCACAAUAAAAAAUUAAAAAAAAAAGAAUAUCUUACAACAAAAUGCACUAAAAAUCGACAUUAUGAAAUUAACCCAUUAUGUCCCAAGUUUUUAAUUCUGCUAAUCUAACAAUUAUCCAAAUAUUAUUUCAAAGUUAUCAUAGUGGUAUAUUUGUUGCCCAAUUACCCUUUUAGUAGAUGUUCCACAUCUGGAAUGAUGGGACAAAAUGGUGGUAAUUUCUGUUCAUUAUCAACUAAUCUGUAGAGUGUGUUGAUCCACUUGUUCAGUCUUCAUGCAAUAGGAAUUGACCAGCUUCCAUAUCAAGAAGUGGAAUACACAUUGGAGGCCCAGCAGAAAGGAGUCCUAUCUCUCUCAGCAGGGACCCCUUGCCUCCCACAUACGCACCAGUGUUAGCCUAAUGGCCAUGGGAGAGACUUGCACUGUGAGGACUCAGGUUUCAGGAUGUUACAUUUAUGUGACUGCAUGUUCCUUUGAUCUGGAGAACUCAUGCCUUGCAUUUUGUGUAUUACUUUAGUCCUCUAUUUAUUCAUGCAAAACCAUGGCAUGGAAAUUUGGAUUUAUAGGAACAGAAUGAUGCAGAUGAAAAUAUUUGGUGUCAGGCACUACACCAAGUCCUGGAUAUAUAGAGAUAAAAAUAAAGAUCUCCUGUCUUCAAAGAGCUCUCACUUGAUGACUGAUAAGGGAGGAGGGAUGUAAUUCUAAAUGAAGCUGGAGAGCUGGGUGUGCUCUUUAGCAGAUGGGUUGACUUCACUAUUCCCUAAAGUGAUUUAUACUCUAUCAGACUUGCAGAGAAGCACACUGGGUGGCUGGCUGGAUUUUACUUUACUCUUUUUGAUUCUAGGAAAUAUCCACUCUUUUGAAACUUAAUAAGGAAUUUCAUUCUUUAUGAACGAAAUUUAAAACACUUUUCUUAUCUUCUUCCCCAACCCAGUACACAUUCCUUUAAAAUGCAUGUGUACCAUAGUAGUUAUUGACAUUUUACAAAGUUAAAGUUCUCAGAAGAGACCUUAUAUUUUUGUUUUUGCAAGAAAUCUUUCUUAUUAAUUAAAGAACAGUGAAAGGAGCAAAGAUUCAUGAUUUUCAGAAAUAGAUUUGAAUAAUAACACAUUACUAACUAGCUCUGACAACUUUCAGUUUAUUCAUAAUGCCUAUUUUGCAGGGUUGUUUUAGGAUUUCAAUGUAUAUAAAGUACUUGCAAAAAUGGCUUGUGAUUAUUAGAAGCUGUAGGGUAGCAAAUGUCAUAGAAGCAAUUGUAAAUAUAAGAAAUCUUCAGAGGCAAAACCAAACCAAAUGGAACAGGAAAACUCACUUUUAUUUCUAGAUCAUAUAUCAAUUACGUAGAAUUCUCCAAAUAAUUGGCUUUUAAAAAAAUAUGUAUCUGCAUAGUCCAAUGUGGUAGCAAUCAUUAGCCACAAUUACAUUUAAAUUAAUUGAAAUCAAAUAAAACUUUAAAAUCAGUUAUUUGGUUGUACUGUCUACAUAUUAAGUGCUCAAAUUUGGCCACAUGCAUAUAACAUUUCAUUCUAUAUCACAUCUAGAUAAUUGAUAUUAUACGAAGCUAUGUUUAAUAUUAUGUGAUAUAGUUUUAUUGUUUUGAAUGAGAUGGUAUCUAUGAGAUAUCAUGAAAAUAAAUAAAAGAUGAUGAUUUUUCUAAGUGUGUCACAUUUAAGACAAAGAAUUGUUCUGAGCAGAUGAUAAGAGUCAUGUUCUCUUCAGAGCCAAAAUUAAUUUUACUGGCAAGGUAAAGGAGUAGAAGUCAAAAUGGAGGUGACUUAUUCCUACGUUUCUAAAUAAUUACAAGCCUUGGAAAUUUGAUUUAUAGGAAUAAGAUGUUGUAGAUGAAAAUAUUUAAGAUGAUGUAUUAUUCAACACAACAUUAUAUUAAAUAUUGCAUACAGGUGUAUCAUUGCAUGUCAUCCUUAACUGAAUUAUGGCAGUAUUAACUGUUUUCCUUGCUCAUUUUCUCUGAUGACCCAGGGUUAGAUAAGUACAAAAAGAGAAGUUUUCUAGCUAUUUCUUCAGAAGUGGAAGAAACCAAAGAUAACCUACUUUAUGCCUUGUUUGACAGACAAGAAAACUGACUCUCCAAGAGAUGAAUGACAUGCCCAACUCAUAGAAGAGUUAGCCAGAGAGCUGGGUCUCUGUGAUCCUGAACUCUCAGAGAAUUUUAAUCCAGUGUCUCUCCAUCUGUCUUUUCCAUUGUAUCACCAUGAUCUUGUGUAUUGUCCUUUAGGAAAAAUAUCUCCACACAAAAUGCUGAAUUUUCUAUAAAAUUGUUUUGUCUGAAAAUUCUAAUGACAUUUUGGAGAGUUUUGAAGACCCAGGUUUUACUAUCUUCACAGCAGAGUUUAUCAGUUAUUUAAAUUCACAUCCCCUUUUAAUUAUGAGAAUAGAAAAGGCCUCUGAGAAACAAAGUUAUUUAUAGCUUUAUUGCAGAGUUAAGAAACAGCAGAUUUCUUCUGUUGUGGGACUCUCUAAGGUUGACACGGCUCAUGCGUCCGUCAAUCUUUCAUCACUGAGAAAAACAACUUAGAGGAGGAAAAGCUUAUUUUGAUUCAUGAUUUUGGAGGUUUCAUGGAGCUGUGGACAUCUGGGUUCAUUACUUUGAACUUGUAGUGAGGCAGAACAUGAAGGGAGAGUACAACAGAGGAAAACUGCCAGAUCAUGGCAUCCAGGAAACUGAGAGAGAGAGGAAGGGGCCAGAGAGAAGUUAGACCCUUCCAGGGUACUCUCCCUGUGACCUGCUUUCUCCAACGAGGUCCUGGUAAUCUGUUCAACACUCAAUGAACUAAUCCACUAAUGAUGUCAGAGCCCCCAUGAUCCAAUCACUACCUAAAAAUCCCAACUCUGAGCCUGGCUGCCCUGGGGACCACGCUUUCAACACACAAGCUUUUGGGGGAUAUUCCAGAUUUAAUCUGUAAGAGCUAUCUCCCGUAUUGCUGGAGAGAAAAAUCAGAAGAAUAUCCAUGGCAGUGUUUAUUUGACUUGUAUCACAGGGUAGGCUCAAGGUAAAGCCAGAACUCCACACACAGACUCAUGAUCCUCACGGUAAAGCUUAGGUGGGCUCUGUGGUACUUCUAUUUCACAGACAAGGAAACUGAGGCAAAAGAACAGUUUUUAUUCAAAAAUAUAUAUUGGUGGAAUACAUAACUAUAAUAAAUAAAGCUGAUGGAAACAGAAUUCAGAUCAAAAUAUGUCCAGUUCCAGAAUUGUCUGCUUUUACCUGGAAACCACAGCCACAUAUAUCUAGCAAAUUCCUCCAUUGAGACUAAUUUGAAUUUAAAGAUGUAGCACAAAAAAGAAUGUAACAUAAUCUUCAUAUUGAUUAUAUGUUUAAGUAAUCUUUUUUAAUUUUUUGAAUUUGAAGGAAAUGAAAAAUAUUAAAAUUCACCUUUUACCCUCUACAUUAUUUAUUUUUUGCAUAUGUGGUUCAUGUCUUAUUUAAUAUUUCUCUUGCAGAGUGCCAUGAUAGAGUCUGAGGGUUUGGCCGCAAUGUACAACUGCUAGUCACAUGCCAGGAGAGAAAUCAAGGCUGUCACAAACAGUACUCCAAAUGAGAAAUAUUUACUGAUUUUAAGAUGCAUUAAAAUAUAGGUAAUGUUUCCAGAGGACUUUUUUAAAAACCAAAAUUUUAGAGUGAACUAAUGUGACCUUGCAACUCAAGUGUAGGACAGUUUUGCUGAAGUUAACUAAAGACAAUUUGGAGUGGCUUGAAAUUGCAAAUGCUUUUUAAAAAUUUGGAGCUUCUGCCCAAAGAUCUCUUUAAUCCAUUUUAUAUUUUACUCUUUCACAUAAUGUACUUUCUUUCAAUACUCUCUCUUAUUAAUUAUCUCCUCUUUCCAUGGCAGAUGGCUAGAUGAGUAUCAAGAUGACGGCAGGACAGAGCUGGAAUUGAUUGCAGAGAGUAGCCAUGGUGAAGGCAGAUGGACAGGACCAGCCACCUCCUGAAAGGGGACACUGGGAGUCGUCACUCCACUGAGCUUCAAGUGGCUAUGGGUCUGAUCAUGACCAUGUGUUUGCUUAGACUGAAGCAAACACCUGGGGAGGGUCAGUUCAGCUGGGACACAUUCUCUGCUUUUGAGAACUUCCAAAGUUGGGAGAAGCAUUGAGACAGACCAUCAGCCAAUGACUGACCAGGAUCAGCCUCUGAUGUCUGGACUGUGCACACCACUAUUUCUUUCUUCCUCCCUUCUUCUUCUUUCUUCUCCAACUUCCCCUUCCUUCCUCCUCUUUCAGAAACUUAGACACCUAUUAAGUUUACUGAAAUGUUUAGAUAGCUAUCUUUUGCAAGUGAAGAAGUAACAUUUGAUUAAUGUAAAAUACUAUUUUGCAACAUACAUUAAUUUCAAAGUGGAAGUCUUAAUUUUAGCUGAUGCCAUGUCUCUGUUAGUAUUGGUGGCAGUAUCAAUAAGAAAAAUAUCAAAAGAAAUGGAUUGAUUGGGUUAUCUUUCAUCCUCAUUGCCCUUUGCACUGGUCCUAGCGAGACUGGGUCUUCUGUGAGCUUAGAAGUUGGACCUACAGGUAGACAGUAACAGAGCACCAUGCAGGAAAUGUAUCUGGAGGCAGAUAUCUGACAUUUAUUAGUCCCUUUCCCCCAUGAAGUCUCAAAUAUGUGUCAUUGUUGUACCUCAGGCAGACGCUUCCAAUCCUUCAAAUUGGCACAAGAGAUAAAACCCCUCUGCCAUCCAGGAGAGAUCUUGGUAUGGCUUAUAAUAUCAGAGAUGCCUGUGUUCCAGUCUCAAUCCUGCAACUGUGAGGUAAUGACUAUCAUCAUCCCCAUUCUGCAGAUGAGAAAACCAAGACUUGGAAAGGCCAAGUGACUUGCCCAAACUCAUAGAAAGAGAUGAACAGGAGAUCUGGGAUUGGAACCCAGUGGUCUGGCUCCAGCCUUUGAGCAUACACAUGAUUUUCCCUACCUUAUUGUCUUCUCCACCUGUUUUAGUACCCUAUGAAAUCAUGCAGAGGGGACCAGUGAAUCUCCUCAGGUUCACUUCCUUCAUGGUUUCCGUCAUAUGCAGCUAUAACCUGAACUAUUAUAUACUUGUUUUAAACUGUCUUUAAAACAGGUAAUUUGGUGGUAGAGGAGAGCUGAGCCUCAUCUGAAACGAUGUCGAUAAUAUCCAUGAUAUCACUAAUUUAAUGUCAUAUAUUUUUUUCCUAAAGCACAUUAAAAUUAAUCUAUAUCUGAUGAACUUUUAGGUUAAUCUAUUUACAACCUAAGAUUCAUUAUAGACAUCCAAAAUUAUGCAUUUCACCAUUUGGAAAAGCACCUAGAAUACAUGUAUAUACCUAUUUCACUCUAAGCCUAGCAUAUAGUGAUCAGUAAGUGACAUUUCAAUUAAAGAGAUUAUUGUUAACAUGGUUUACCUUUUAGCACCCCUUCGUAAUUGUAUAUUUUAUAUCUGAGAAUAAAAACACAUCAAGAAUUAAGUUUCGGUGAUUUACAUUUUGCUACAGUUUGGAUCCAGAAUGUUCUCAGUGCAAAGGUUAGAAUUGGACCCCAGCCUGGUGCUAUUGGGAAGUGGUGGGAACCUCAAGAGGUGGGACCUGGUGCAAGACCUUCAGGUCACUGGAGGCUCCUGAAAGGGAUCCUGCAACCCAGCCCCUCCUCUUUCUCCUUCACUUCCAGGCCAGGAGAUAAGUGCAUCUGCUUCACCCUGCAUUCCAGCCAUGACACACUGCCCGAGCACAAAUCAACAGGGCCUGUGGAUCAUGAAAUGAAACUUCUAAAACUGUGAGCCAAACUAAUCUCCCUCCUCCCUCCCUCCCUCCCUCUCUCUCUCUCCUUCCUUCCUUCCUUCCUUCCUUCCUUCCUUCCUUCCUUCUUUUCUUUUCUUUC
rnacentral:lncRNA from 1 species